rnacentral:lncRNA from 1 species
CGUAUUGUUGAUCGCGGGCACAAUUGCAUUAAUCACGACCGCGUGUUGUUACGCGCUCCGCAGCGGGAUCGCACGUCCGCACGAGAUCCGUCCCGUCGGCGCGACUAGGGAAGGGGGACUUAGGGACUUAGCCCCCCCUCAAUUUUUUUUUUUUGAUUGCUUAAAAUCUAACGAUCACUUAAGCGCGGAGCAGCGAGAUGCCUAACCGAACGUUUUCUUUUGGUGAUUCCUACGAUCCUGCACAGUUAAUAAUAACAUUGUUGUCUAACAAAUGUGACGGACGGCGGUGGAAUGUUGCGGUGGUGUUAUGUCAUAUUUUACGUAAAACGUACGACACAGAAUAAGUGUAAAGCUGUUUGCAGUAUAAAUAACAAGACAUUCAAUUGCCAGCCAAAUUAAUAGAGACGUUGUCGAAAAACUGGGUUUUCUGAAUAAGGACAUCGAGUGUUUUCAGUGAUAAGAUCCGUGAAGAGAAUUCCAAAGAAACAUUUUACGGGAUCGAAACCCAAUUAAAUCCAUUAAAAAAAAAAAAACAAAUGUGUUGUUUCCUGCAUUAUGUCGCAAUUGACUUCGAUGCGUUGUGCACGUACACACAGCUUCGACACUUUAGAUUUAUUGAUCGAUUAAACAUGAAAAGUUUCGAUAAAUAUUUAUAUGCAUUUAAAUAUAAUAUAAUAUGUAGGUUAUAGUUGUAACGAAAAAUUAAUAUUUAUUAACUUACCUGUACGGGUACCGUGGCAUCUAAACGGCAUGUAUUAUAGAAAAUCCUUCGGGAGUCCGACGCAAAAUACAGCCACUGGACGUACGGAUCAUUAAAUAGAAUAUGUAAUGCUGUGUACGAUAAUAUGAUGUACAGAAAAACGACAUGAAUGUAUAUUUACAAUUAUUUUAUAAUAAUAUUUAUUCAAACACCGGCCGGUACAAUAUGUUAUACUGGAACCCAGGAAUGACGAACGCGCACUCGAAUACGACCACGGGUAACGUAUACAUAUCUUGUGUCGUAUUAUGUUUCGUCACACAGCCGCACUGCUAGGACGGCCAUUAUUGUACACCGUACUUGUACUUAUUAAAAACAUGUAACGGAUGUGUGUAAAACGCUGUGUUUGAAUUGGUUUCAUCGUUGAUUUGAAAUAUUAUAGCAUUCGUAGUAUGAAUAAAGCCAGACGAAAUAAAUAAUUUAAUGCUUUUUUUUUCCGUGGCAUGAAAUAUGUGUACGAUUCUUUUACUUGAAUUAUAUUAAAAAAUACAACGACUUAGGACUCGAAAUCAUUCUCAAAACGUACAAAUAUGAAUCGGUUUCGUGUUUGUAAUGCCAAUACACUCAUAUCCGUGAUCUACAUCAAAUCAAUAAAUAUAUAUUCAUAGCAUUGUACUAGUAUCGUUAUAAUCGUCGCACCUCGUGUCGUUAUCGAUCAAUCAUCUUUUAUUUCACUUCGUACCUCGUAAGGAAUGAAAUAGCAUAAUUUGAUACAGAUACCACCAAAAUGGCUAUGUCGUUAAUGUAUAAUCCACUAAUAAUAAUUCCAUUAUUUAUUGAUUUGAAUAUUAAAUAUCGAACUAAUCGAAACUCAGACAUAGUUAUUACUUACUGCCGUGUAAAUUUUUUUUUAUCUAGUUUUGUUCCAUCAAGGUAAAUCAUUGGUACAAACCGAAUUGGGUGAGCAGCAAUAUAAUAUAUAACAUAAAUAGUAAUAAAUAAAUAAUAUUAUGUUCACAUGAAAUUUAAAUGGUAUUUGACAACGUGAUGUAAGGACGAUAAUAUUAAAUCAUGCGUGUUCAACGGAAAAACGAUUAACCACAAUUUCAACAUGUUUGUAUGAAAAUAAUUCAAAUACAUUAAUUAUAAGUUAAACUGUUAAAAUGACGAUCAUAACCACAU